GGAUUCCCCUAGUAACUGCGAGUGAAGCGGGAAAAGCUCAAAUUUAAAAUCUGGCAGUCUCUGGCUGUCCGAGUUGUAAUCUAGAGAAGUAAUGCCCGUGCUGGACCGUGUAUAAGUCUCCUGGGAUGGGGCGUCAUAGAGGGUGAGAAUCCCGUCUUUGACACGGACUACCAGUGCAUUGUGGUAUGCUCUCAAAGAGUCGAGUUGUUUGGGAAUGCAGCUCAAAAUGGGUGGUAAAUUCCAUCUAAAGCUAAAUAUUGGCGAGAGACCGAUAGCGAACAAGUACCGUGAGGGAAAGAUGAAAAGAACUUUGGAAAGAGAGUUAAACAGUACGUGAAAUUGCUGAAAGGGAAACGCUUGAAGUCAGUCGCGUUGGCCGGGAAUCAGCCUUGCUUUUUGCAUGGUGUACUUUCUGGUUGACGGGUCAGCAUCAAUUUUGACCGCUGGAAAAAGGCCUGGGGAAUGUGGCAGCUUCGGCUGUGUUAUAGCCCCUAGUCGCAUACAGUGGUUGGGAUUGAGGAACUCAGCACGCCGCAAGGCCGGGUUUCGACCACGUUCGUGCUUAGGAUGCUGGCAUAAUGGCUUUAAGCGACCCGUCUUGAAACACGGACCAAGGAGUCUAACAUGCCUGCGAGUAUUUGGGUGGAAAACCCAAGUGCGUAAUGAAAGUGAAAGUUGAGAUCCCUGUCGUGGGGAGCAUCGACGCCCGGACCAGAACUUUUGGGAUGGAUCCGCGGUGGAGCAUGUAUGUUGGGACCCGAAAGAUGGUGAACUAUGCCUGAAUAGGGUGAAGCCAGAGGAAACUCUGGUGGAGGCUCGUAGCGAUUCUGACGUGCAAAUCGAUCGUCAAAUUUGGGUAUAGGG
rnacentral:rRNA from 1 species